rnacentral:lncRNA from 1 species
GAGGAAGAUCCAGAAGAAGAUUCGGAGGAAGAGCUGGAAGGCAAAUCGGGAAAGCAGAUAAAGCGUUGGAUCCUAAUUUCGACUAAUUUUAAAGUUAAUUUUCAAAUUUUGUUAUAGUUUGGACCUUGUAUUUUAUUUAUUUUUAUUUGGAUGUUUUUUAUUUUUGGUUUUUAUUUUAGUUAGGAUUUUAAUAUUUUAUAUAUGUAGUUGUGCUUAGUUUUCUUAGUAGGAACCCCAAAAUUUUGAAGGCACAACAAUGUUGAGUAAAAACCAAGAGGACUAAUCCCAUCAAUCAUAUUGCACGAAUCACGCCAAUCAGAUAACCUCUUUCCUUUAUAUUUUUAUUGCACAUUAGGGACG